AAACCAACAGGGAUUGCCUUAGUAGCGGCGAGUGAAGCGGCAAAAGCUCAGAUUUGAAAUCUGCCUCACGGCCGAGUUGUAAUCUGUAGAUGGCUACUCUGUAACAAGUCUUUGCUCAAGUUUUCUGGAAAGGAACAUCAUGGAGGGUGAUAAUCCCGUGAGGCAUUGGCGUCGUUGCGUGUAGAGGGUCAUCAAAGAGUCGAGUUGUUUGGGAAUGCAGCUCAAAGCGGGUGGUAGACACCAUCUAAAGCUAAAUAUUGGCGAGAGACCGAUAGCGAACAAGUACUGUGAAGGAAAGAUGAAAAGCACUUUGAAAAGAGAGUGAAAAAGUACGUGAAAUUAUUGAUACAGAAGGAUAUGCCAUUGGACGUUAUGUUUGGGCAUGCUUGUGCUUCGGCGCAGGUUUAACCCUCUCAUUUUACCAGCAUCAGUUUCGGCAGGAGGACAAACAACGCGGAAUGUAGCUGCUUGCAGUGUUAUAGACGUGUUGCAUACUCUUUGCUGGGACUGAGGCCCGCCAUUGCAGGAUGCUGGGGUAACGAUGGCAUAUCAC
rnacentral:rRNA from 1 species